AGAAAAGUAGGUGCCGCCCCGCACAGGGGCGACGCGUGAAGCACGCUAACGUAACGCGGAUGCCAGCGCAAAGGCAUAAGACCAAAACCAAAACCAAAACCAAAACCCGC
rnacentral:sRNA from 1 species